AAAUUUUGUCUCUGUAACUCCUUCCAUGGGUAUUUUGUUCCCAUUUCUAGGAAGGGGCAAAGUGUCCACACUUUGGUCUUCGUUCUUCUUGAGUUUCAUGUAUUUAGCAAAUUGUAUCUUAUAUCUUGGGUAUUCUAAGUUUCUGGGCUAAUAUCCACUUACAAGUGGAAGCUCCAAUUUCUAAAUACAUAGUCUCUCUCUCUGUCUAUCUCUCUCUCACACACACACACAUACACACACGCGCGCGCGCGGCAUGCAUGUAUAUGUGUGUGUGUGUGUGUGUGUAUCUUUUUCUCUUAGAGCUGAAAACGUAAAUACACCAAUUUAAUGACACAGCCAAUCUCUUCAAUAGAUAUAGAAGCAGAUAGAUAGAUAGAUAGAUAGAUAGAUAGAUAGAUAGAUAGAUAGAUAGAUAGAUAGAUAGAUACUUUAAAAUUCAUGAUACCAACCCUAUUCAAGAAGUCUGAACCUUCUCUGGAAGAGGAAAAACUAAGCACACACCACCUCCCAGACUCCCUUAGCCUUUUGCUUCCUUGGGCUCUUGUAACUUUCUUCUAGUCGUCUAUUUCUGUUGAUCUGCACGCACUGUGGUAGUGCCUUCUGAGCCCCUUCACAAUGGAAGCAUCUCUCUUCUGUGAACUAGAUGCAAUGGUCCCUCCCUAGCUUACUUCCUCAUCAUCAUCAGGGGCUUUAAACACACUUCCUCAAAUGCAAUCAUUUUCUUUUCUAACCUGAGUUAUGGGUUGCUCCUCCAUGUACUUCCCGAAUGAAGUUAUUCAAAGCUAGGUAAAUGUAAUGUAAAAUUAUUGAAGAGUGAUCCCUCUCAGACAGGUGGCUCCUAGGCCCUGUACUGACUCUGGAUUUUUACCCUUUCCAAGCAUUGUAAAUAUUUUUCAAAGUUGAAUCUAUGUUGAAUAAAUUCCAGAGUAAACACAAGAUAUAAUGAGAGACAGUAUAGUAUACUCAUUACAAGAGCAAGAAAUGGAGUCAGGCUGUUUAGGUUCAAGUGUGACCCUUUUAGUGUCCAAGUUUCUUCAUCUAUUGGAUGAGGAUGAUUGUAUUAGUAACUGUGUUGUUGCGGUGAUGAAACACCAUGACCCAUCACCAUGGGGUACCAUAGCUUCGGGCAGGCAUGGCAGCUGGAGCAGGCAGCUGAGUGUUUGCAUCUUUAGUGGCAGUCAGGAAGCAGAGCGGAGAAACUAGAAGUUAUGGAGCCUUUUUAAUCUCAAAGCCUGCCCGUAGUAAAGUCUUCCCCAAACAGUACCACUAACUGGGGAGGGGACCAGGUAUUCAAGUGCCCAAGACUAUGAGGAACGUUUUUCACUCAGAGCACCUCAGUGGCCAUGAAUGGCCAUGUAGAACUAUUGGGCCACCCUUUCUCUGUAAGUUAUUAAAAACCACCUGAAGAAUUCUUGCAUUUUGGAAGAGUGGAGAGCCACAACAGGGAGACCCUUCCAUCCUAUGGGUUAGAAAAGGGAAGAGUGUUCUACCUGAAUUGGGAACCCAAGUUUUCUGAUAAAAUGGAUUCCCCGGGUAGUUGUAGAAAAUCUUCACUGAAUUGCACAGUCGCUGGUACCUGUCCCGAAUCCUAUGAAACAUUCGCUGUCUAUAUCUGCCAGGACCAUCUGAGGAUAGCCCAGUCUCUGGAAAACUAAGAAUUUACUCCCUGAAGGACUUUUUUUUUAAAUGCUCUCGCUGACAGUCUUUAAAAAUAGUCUGCUGCUUCUACUGCCUUUUUAAAACUGAACAAAAUGUCCUCAGCAUCUGUUUUUCCUAGACUGUCCCCAGCAUCUGCUGAGAGAGACAAAGUCUGUUUGCUCCAACACAGAACAGCCACGGACUGUCACUGCUGUGGCUUUUUCUGUCUCUUCCCCAGUUGCCAGUCAUUUAUUUCAGCCGACUGGUGUCCCACCUUAACCUGCCUCUCACACCCUUUGGCCCCAACACAUACUUGACAUUUGAAGUUUUAGACUCUAUAUAACCAAACGUAACAGCCAAUUCAC
rnacentral:lncRNA from 1 species